GUUAUCAAGGUCCCACCAUGGUGGACCACUACCUCAAAUCUUUUCUCAGUCAUCUCAAAGGGGGACCACUAAAAUCACUUCAAAUACCAAUAAUGGGACCACGGUGAACAACAAAAGUCGACAAUAAUGCCCUUUGUCUUCCACAACCAAAAAGCCAACAACCAAAAAGCCCAAAAAAAAAAUCAUAUUUAACACACAAUACAACGCAUUACAACAGCAAAUAAACAACUUUUUAUACUACCCAAAAUCAGAGUAAAACGAUGAAAAUAUCUAUUCUUAACAGAACAUCAAAUUAAACCCUAACCCCCCC
rnacentral:lncRNA from 1 species